GCGAUGACGAGAAGGAAAAAUUCAGAUGAAAAGUCGGGUGGAGGUCCAUGUUGCGAAGGGCUCGAUCGAGGAAUAACCUCUAUUUAGUUGAGGUUUUCAGGUAUCAUAAUUUCAAGAUCAAAGCUCCACGUGGAACACCGCUUGUUAUUCAAAGUGAAGACGACAACACGUAUGACUCGCAUGCACUGGCUUGUCUUCUUCCACGAGAAAUGGAACGCAUUCCAGAGGCUCUACGAGCAGUCCAGAUUUUCAGCAAAUCGCAGAGAAAGACAAACACUUUAGGAGAUGUCAAAGGGCAGCAGAUCGGCACGGUUCAGCACUUUCUAAACAUACAGCUGCAUGCUUUGCUUCGAUGUGGCAAAAUAACCAGGAAUUGAAGGGGAAAUCAACGGAGAACGGAC